AUGGAGCCUGCACCCCUCAUCGACCACAACCGCCGCCCCCGCAACAGCCACAAGGUCAUCGCGUCCUCGCCAGCCAUCGAGCACCAGACGUUCCUGCUCCUCCAGCAUGCCGUGGUCGUCACGGCGGUGGGCACCACGGCGCAUGCCGCCAGUCCGCUGUCCAUCGGCCGCGCGCUCGAGAAGGAGUUCAAGAUCCCACCGCACCUUCUGCGCGUCACCAACCAUGACCCCGAGGACUUCUUCGUCUUCUUCACCAUGCCGGCGCACAAGGAUCUCGCUGUGCGGCAGGGCUCGCUG
rnacentral:rRNA from 1 species